UUCCUCUCAUGCUGUGUGGACAGGCCAUCCAAAUGAGCCAGGAAAUCCCCCCCAGUCCACCCACAAGAAGCUGAGAUUCUACACAGGAAACCCAGAAUAUCCACACACAGAAGACAGCAUAAUCUACACAUAUGCCAAAGGACACACCCACCCAAGCUAAGAUGCAUCUCUGGAGAAUCAGUAAUGGUCCAACAUGGAAUACUUUCUUGGCAAAAUAUAUGUGCUUUGCAGAAGACCAUGAUCAUGUAUAAAACCGUGCUUGACUGAACAAUGAGCUAUGGCUUCUGUCUGGAUAAAUAUCUUGAUUCAUUUUUCAUCCCAAUGAUUAUGAUAAUUAUUCUUUGUGACUGCUUCACUGGACACAUCGUUUAGAAUUGUAAUACAAGCCGGGCAGUGGUGGCGCACGCCUUUAAUCCCAGCACUCGGGAGGCAGAGGCAGGCGGAUCUCUGUGAGUUCAAG